CUUAGAUCCUGUAAUCCUGACAAACAGCUCAGUUAUGUGAGUGAUGGGGUAGGCAUUCUUGACAGUGAUUGUAUUAAGAUCAUGACAAUCUAUGUAUGAGUGCACUCCCCUUCCACCCUUUCUUUACCUCAAAGGAAAAACAUGUCCCUGCUGGAGAGGACAACGUGUGUAUAAAGCCCCUUGCCAGGGCUGGUCUACAGGUGUGCAAGCUGUGAUAGGGCGCCAUAGCAGCUGGAGGCGCCAGGAGGCCGACAUUGGUCACAUACGCAGG